rnacentral:lncRNA from 13 species
GUACACGCAUUUUCUAUAGAAAAGGUUCUUUUGUCACGCUUUCGCAAUUUUCAAGUUUUUUUUUUUCUUUUGCAACAAGGAACACUGGACAUAGAGAAAGAAUAACUAUUAAUCUCUUUUGGCCUUCUUGUUUGUCAUUUUAAAGAUUUCAGUCGCUGGGACUGGGAACAAUAUAAGAAGUGGAUUUAUAGAAUCGAAAAAGAGCCCAAGUUUCCAGACAUAAAACUGCCGAGUCCCGAUACGCCAGAAAACGUCCGUUACUGCGCCGCAGGGCAGCUGCUCGUAGCAGAACGAUUUUCAAAGGGCGACUUCUAAUGAGCUCCCGCUACCCCGACAGAGGGUCUGGGAAUACUCUGCUGGGAGAUUAUGCUCCCAUGCGCUUCGUUCCCGGCUCUCUAUAUCUCCACUUGGUUUCCACCUCUGGAGAUUUUCCGAGCAGCCAAGAUAAGAGUUUCCUCUCGACACACCGAAGCUAUCAGAUUUUUGCUCCGCCCGUUGUGACAGAAACCUGAUUCUACAUCCUGACAGAGUGGCGCGUGGGAAAAGUAGCCCUGGUUUAAUGUUACAAUAUGAAUGAUCCUUCAUUCUACAACGGAGACGGUUCUAUGCACAUAUCUUUUUCUCAAGGAGUUUAAACGGAGUACACGGAGAAUACGACGGAUGAGCGUCCGCGGAACACGCGCACACGUCCGGCACAACAUCGUAUAUGGUAAACUCCAUGAUAACGCCAUCACGUCGCGCGGAUCACGUGCACACGUCCGUCGUUGAACUAUAUAUUACGUCACCGCGUCUUCACCGACACGACCGUUCACACAAUCGCACUUGUGUGACCUUGUGUGUUUUGUAUAUAUCAUCCCUCCCUGCCUCCUGUCCUCCUCUCUCCCUUUCCGCACCCUGCAAGAAUAUUCCUUGCCUCGCCCCCGUUGCCCUCCCAUGCCAACACCGGCGUCACGUGUGGUAUGAGCAGGAGAAAGGGAGUGCGAAGAGGAGGUGGUGGAGGCGGAGGUAGCAAAGGGGGACAGAAGGGUGGUUUAAACGGGUGAACACGUCGCAGCUAAGGUCGCGGCGGACGUUACUGGGUCACUGGAGUGACCGCGAUGCAUUGCACCCGCUCCCUCUCUUUCUCUUUUUCUCCUGAUCUUCCUUGUUUCCCCCGGUGCCCUUUCUUCGACGUUCUGCUUUCCUUUGGAAUCCGCGAGGACAGAGGGAGCGGAUAAGGAAGUGAAUUUUCUCUCUUAUUCGUAAUAGAAAAACACAAUAGAAACAUUUGCGUUCUAAUAA